rnacentral:rRNA from 1 species
GACGAACGCUGGCGGCGUGCUUAACACAUGCAAGUCGAGCGAUGAAGUUCCUUCGGGAACGGACUAGCGGCGGACGGGUGAGUAACACGUGGGUAACCUGCCUCAUAGAGGGGAAUAGCCUUCCGAAAGGAAGAUUAAUACCGCAUAAGAUUGUAGUACCGCAUGGUACAGCAAUUAAAGGAGUAAUCCGCUAUGAGAUGGACCCGCGUCGCAUUAGCUAGUUGGUGAGGUAACGGCUCACCAAGGCGACGAUGCGUAGCCGACCUGAGAGGGUGAUCGGCCACAUUGGGACUGAGACACGGCCCAGACUCCUACGGGAGGCAGCAGUGGGGAAUAUUGCACAAUGGGGGAAACCCUGAUGCAGCAACGCCGCGUGAGUGAUGACGGUCUUCGGAUUGUAAAGCUCUGUCUUCAGGGACGAUAAUGACGGUACAUGAGGAGGAAGCCACGGCUAACUCUGUGCCAGCCGCCGCAGUAACAC